UCAGAGAAGUGUUCUUGCACCUCUCUCACUUUCUCUUUCUAGGGUUUCUCUCUCUUCGAGUAGAAGUCGCCGAUUCAAGCCGAUUCCGCGUUCCGCUCGAUGUUCGCUGGUUUGGAGACUCAAGGAAAGUCUUUGGCAUGUGGGGAGAAGGAUUCUUACUGAAUUUCUGAGGUCCUAUCACCAGGGGAAGCUAAGUUGCAGCUUUUGAUAAGUAUUUUGCUUAAGACUUCUCUAAUUUGAAGUUUAGUAUCGGAAUUUGAGUUGUUUUAGUUUCUUUGCUCCCAGCUGAAUUAGGAGUUUCCAGCAGCUAGAGAGGAGUUAGUUAGCUGUGAUUUAUCCACUUUAGACCAGGGAUAAGCUGCUUUGAAGCUUGAUAACGGUUUCCGAACCACCUUGAGCUAAAUUGGUGACCUUGGGGGACUGGUUUGAAAGGUGUUUCAACCAAGGCAAGGUUGCAAUCGACCGUUGGAUUAUCUUUGACUAACUUGUGAGAGCUUUUGGAGGUUAAACUUGAGCAGGUUUGAGACCUAGCGAGCUGAAUUUUGGGACUCAGUUGGGGCUGGAUCGAGCUUAGUGCUAGAGUCACCUACAGGAGAGGCUAGGGAUCGCGGCAAGGGAGUCGCGUCUAGCUAGACAUAGCUUGAUGUUUGCUAGUUGAUCACCUUCCUACUCGUGCCACGGCCGAGGGUGAUGUAUCCAUGUAUAGAGAGACUACCAUUGUACAUGUAUUUUUAGUAACCCUGUGAUGUAUAUGAGUAGUUUGAAUCGGGGAUUUUAGUUUUGAUUUUGCUCUUUGAUGUUGAGAUUUUUGGUUGUAUACUCCUUAUUCCUCUGAUGAUGGUAUUAUAGACUUAUACU